rnacentral:rRNA from 1 species
AGCGAACGCUAGCGGCGGGCCUAACACAUGCAAGUCGAACGGCAGCACGGGCUUCGGCCUGGUGGCGAGUGGCGAACGGGUGAGUAAUGCAUCGGAACGUGCCCAUGUUGUGGGGGGAUAACUACGCGAAAGCGUGGCUAAUACCGCAUACGCCUUGAGGGGGGAAAGCGGGGGAUUCUUCGGAACCUCGCGCAAUUGGAGCGGCCGAUGUCAGAUUAGCUUGUUGGUGAGGUAAAGGCUCACCAAGGCGACGAUCUGUAGCGGGUCUGGGAGGAUGAUCCGCCACACUGGGACUGAGACACGGCCCAGACUCCUACGGGAGGCAGCAGUGGGGAAUUUUGGACAAUGGGCGAAAGCCUGAUCCAGCCAUGCCGCGUGUCUGAAGAAGGCC